rnacentral:rRNA from 1 species
UGGGGAAUAUUGCACAAUGGGCGCAAGCCUGAUGCAGCCAUGCCGCGUGUAUGAAGAAGGCCUUCGGGUUGUAAAGUACUUUCAGCGAGGAGGAAGGCGUUGUGGUUAAUAACCGCAGCGAUUGACGUUACUCGCAGAAGAAGCACCGGCUAACUCCGUGCCAGCAGCCGCGGUAAUACGGAGGGUGCAAGCGUUAAUCGGAAUUACUGGGCGUAAAGCGCACGCAGGCGGUCUGUCAAGUCGGAUGUGAAAUCCCCGGGCUCAACCUGGGAACUGCAUCCGAAACUGGCAGGCUAGAGUCUUGUAGAGGGGGGUAGAAUUCCAGGUGUAGCGGUGAGAUGCGUAGAGAUCUGGAGGAAUACCGGUGGCGAAGGCGGCCCCCUGGACAAAGACUGACGCUCAGGUGCGAAAGCGUGGGGAGCAAACA